rnacentral:lncRNA from 1 species
CCCUCCACCACAUUCUGUUCAAGAUGGCGAUCGUGAUGAGGUGGCUUGUCUCCCUUGCCCUUAGGAGGCUGAUCAACUGGCUUGGGCUCUGGCUUGGGCUCUGGGAAUGGCUUGUGCUCAUCAAGUGGGGUUGGUGGCUUGGGUUUUGUGGGUGGCUUCGGCUUCUUUCCCUGAGGAGGCAAUUUCCCAUCCAAUGGCUCCUCUAGCAAACGAGUUCUGGUUUCUUGUUUGUGAUGAGGCGGUUUCUCACCCUUUGGAGGCUGAUCAACUGGCUUUGGUUCUGGCUUGGGCUCUGGCUUGGGCUCUGGGAAUGGCUUGUGCUCAUCAAGUGGGGUUGGUGGCUUGGGUUUUGUGGGUGGCUCCGGCUUCUUUCCCUGAGGAGGCAAUUUCCCAUCCAAUGGCUCCUCUAGCAAACGAGUUCUGGUUUCUUGUAUGUGAUGAGGCGGCUUCUCACCCUUUGGAGGCUGAUCAACUGGCUUUGGUUCUGGCUUGGGCUCGGGCUUGGGCUCUGGCUUGGGCUCUGGGAAUGGCUUGUGCUCAUCAAGUGGGGUUGGUGGCUUGGGUUUUGUGGGUGGCUUCGGCUUCUUUCCCUGAGGAGGCAAUUUCCCAUCCAAUGGCUCCUCUAGCAAACGAGUUCUGGUUUCUUGUUUGUGAUGAGGCGGCUUCUCACCCUUUGGAGGCUCGUCGUUGCCCGGGUUUCCUUUGUGCUCUGGUGGUGGCUUCUCUCCUUUUCUUGGUGGCUCAUCUCUUGGGUGUCCUGGUUCAUGCUCAGGUGGUGGUUUCUCUCCUUUUCUCGGUGGCUCAUCUCCCGGGUGCUCAGGUGGUGGCUUCUCAUCCUUGUGAGGCUCAUCACCUGGUUUCUCCUUUGGUGGUGGCUUUUGUCCCUUAGGAGGCUCAUUGUUCUCUGGUGGAGGCUUUUUUCCCUUUGGAGGCUCAUUGUUCUCUGGUGGAGGCUUCUUUCCCUUUGGAGGCUGGUCAUUGCGCUCUGGUGGUGGCUUUUGUACCUGGGGAGGCUGGUCAUUGCGCUCUGGAGGUGGCUUUUCUCCCUUGGGAAAUUGGCCCUCCACCUCUAACAAAUGGUGUUCGUUGUGGGGUGGCUUGUCAACUGGUGGAG